UACGGAGGGUGCAAGCGUUAUCCGGAUUCACUGGGUUUAAAGGGCGCGCAGGCGGAUUGGUAAGUCAGUGGUGAAAGGCUUGAGCUUAACUCGGGAACUGCCAUUGAUACUAUCAGUCUUGAAUAUUGUUGAGGUUUGCGGAAUGGGUCAUGUAGCGGUGAAAUGCAUAGAUAUGACCCGGAACACCUAUUGCGAAGGCAGCAGGCUAAACAAAGAUUGACGCUGAGGCUCGAAAGCGUGGGGAUCAAACAGG
rnacentral:rRNA from 1 species